UACUCUUCUCUGUGCUUGGCUUCUCGGGGAUGUCGGGGCCCCGUUCGGGUGCGGGGACCCGGCGGGGGCGGGGACGGGGAUCGUUUUCACCCCGAAUUUCGUUUCGGGGCCGGGGACCCAAUUCGGGGCCGGGGCCGGGGGCGUUCCAGUACUCCCCGACCCCGCUCCGCCCCGUUGCCAACCCUCAUCACUGGCAUGGAGGAACCCAUUCUCGCGGAGGAUCUGCACGGCCACCUGGGAGUCAUUGCCUCGCCGGCAGAUGACGUACAGAGGGCAGUGCCACCCGCCGCUCCGCGACGUCUCGCCGCCGCCGCCGCCACUUACCUCGCCGUACAGAGGUCGGUGCUCCCUCUUCUUCGUUGCAGCGGCGGCGGGGGAGAUGGCGCACUGGUUGCCGCGGGCCGCGCGAGCCGACGGGCGGGGGAGGUGCGGUGCUUCGACGACAUUCCCCUGCGUUUGGAUGAGUUAAUUAUCCAGUUGCUACCAUAUGUUGAUUGGUGGCCAAGAUGCUCAGAUAACUUAGCAGUAUUUGGAGGGCAUCCAUGUUGGCGGCGAGACUAUAAGCAUUUGGAUUGUCCUGGACAUGUGCAUCUAACCUACACUACAAGAGAAAGUGGCAAAUCAGCUGCAGAAUGACUUUGCAAGUUAGUCAUGAAAAGUUUACGCCUGAAUCUCAUUUGUGCCAAGCCUCAAGCUCUGUGGUGUAUAUGGGAACUGGGAUUGCUCCUGAUCAUUGAUUUGUUGUUGUCGUUAAGCAGUAGAGCAGCAUACUGGCUUGGAACAUCAAUA